GAUGAACGCUAGCGGGAGGCUUAACACAUGCAAGUCGAGGGGCAGCAUAGAGUAGCAAUACUUUGAUGGCGACCGGCGCACGGGUGAGUAACGCGUAUGUAACCUACCCUGUACAGGGGGAUAGCCCGGAGAAAUUCGGAUUAAUACCCCAUAAAGAUAUCAUUAGGCAUCUUAAGAUAUUUAAAGCUGAGGUGGUACGGGAUGGGCAUGCGUAACAUUAGCUAGUUGGUAGGGUAACGGCCUACCAAGGCGACGAUGUUUAGGGGUCCUGAGAGGGUGAUCCCCCACACUGGUACUGAGACACGGACCAGACUCCUACGGGAGGCAGCAGUGAGGAAUAUUGGUCAAUGGGCGAGAGCCUGAACCAGCCAUCCCGCGUGAAGGAAGAGUGCCCUAUGGGUUGUAAACUUCUUUUCCAGGGGAAUAAAAUGGACUACGCGUAGUUCACUGAAGGUACCCUGGGAAUAAGCAUCGGCUAACUCCGUGCCAGCAGCCGCGGUAACAC
rnacentral:rRNA from 1 species